rnacentral:lncRNA from 1 species
UAUUUCGGUUAUUUGAGAACUCUGCAAACUUUGUUUAAAUUUUGAACUUGAGGUUGUAAUAAUUUAAUGCACUUGUUUAAUUAUGAUGGACCGUAACCACUCGCCUUCGUGCGAGUCUUGCUUUCCCGAUCCUGAGAUAUGUGGUUUAUCGGAUGAAAUCCGACGGACGACCGAAUUGACUUGAUUAAAGUGCAUGAUCGCGUGUCAAGCGACUUAAGUGUGCUUUAGCCAAGUUAAUUUGGGUGGUUCCGCCACAAUGAGAGGGGAACACAUCACCAAUGACAGAUGCAAGAGGAUGUUCCUAUGGUCAAGCUUGUGACCAUAAACAAAGCACUGCUGGGAGAUAGCCCAGAUUAUCAUUUAUUUUUCCCUUCAAUAAAAGCAAGAGUAUGUUUUUAGGAUAAACUCUCCUUGGGUAUCUUUAGUCGCUAACCAUUUCAGGUGGUGAUUAAAAAGAAUGAUGGACAGGUGACGCCUAAGAACAUGGGAGCUACACCAAUUACAACACCUUGGUAAGUCUUGGUGAGGAAACAAUUACAAAAGGAAACUUGAACUCCACACACUUGAGUUGCGUUGCCCAGCAAUGCAAACUCCAAGUGUGGGGGAGGUAUGUGAGUAUCCCAAGUAAGUUCCUUUCGUGCCGAAUCGUAUCUUGGUUUGGAGAUGGUGUUGGUUCUUGCAUCUUGUUCUCUAAAAAAAAGAAAGGAGUUACCACGGCGAUGACUCGGAGUUCUUCAUCAUCCAAACACCAUGGUAAGUACCUUCAGGUAUGUCCUGCUUUUGACUUUAAACAAAGCCCUUCCGGGAGGUAGCCUGAAGUUCACCAAUCUUAUUCUCAUGCUUAUCUCCCUUGGAAUAUAGCUUGAUCAUGCUUUCAUGCUUCCUUUAUCUAUGCUCAUAUGCUCUAGUUUGAAUGUAUGUUCCAUCAGCAUACAUUCAUAGGCCUUUUAAAUUAAGCAUGGUGCUUGGGUUAAAAUGUCUUCUUCAAUCAAACAAGAUAUGGUGUCAAGUUUGAUUGAUGAACCUUAGAGUUAAUACUCUCAUGGAUAUUGAUUGUAUAUGUGGACUAACCCCUUUAGAAAAUCUUCAAACCCAAAUGGGUAAGUCAAUGAGAUUGAUUCAAAUUGAAAGGUAGACAAAGGCAUCGGAUUCAUGUUGCACAACAUAAAAAGGAGGUACAUAUCACCCUUCCAGGGUCCAUCGUAAGUAUAUCUUCUUUUGCUUAUGUUGAUGCAAUUUUAAUUCAUCCUUGUUUGAGUAGGUCCCAUGGUGAAAAUAAAAUAAAAUAAACAAAAAAAAUUCCCAAAAAUAUUUGAGUUCGAAUAAAGAAAGGCUCCCUGGUUCUCGAACUAGCAGAGUCCACUUUUGUUUCCACCUUUUUGUUUGAAUAAAGCAUCAGGUAAGAUCUCUCAAGCUCAUCGAUACACACACUCGAGAUCUCCC